rnacentral:lncRNA from 1 species
UCCCCUUCCAUACAGCCUCAAAAAUAAAUUUGAUACAAUUAACCAUGAAUAAAAUGCCAUAAAAGGGUAGUUUCCUAAUAAUUACAGCACAAACAGCUCCCUCUCCCCCAGAUGAUCCACGAAUGGAAGGAUCUGGGAUCAAAAUCGGCUCCUCCUUCAAAUCCCGCUGACAUCUCAUACUGACACCCGGAAUGAAAGGAUGACCUGCUAAAUCUACAAAAUUAUCCUCUGCAACCCGAGCAUAAUUGAUAGUCUUAAUAAACAAGGAAAUAGAAACACCAUAAAUACGCCGUUUCCAAGUAAUAUCAGCGGAAUUUUCUCUAUUGCCUUUAGAGGAAUUAAAUUCCAGUGUUUCCAAAGGUAAUAUCGGAGUAAGUGACCACGGGUAGCCUAGCCGGCUCCCCCUGGCCUUUCUGAAAAAAUUACGAGCCGAUCCGGCUCUCAAGAAUCCAAGACAUGGGGCCGCCUUCCCCUGGCCGGCUGUCUCCUAGGCCGGCUAUUGGAAGGCGGCCCGACUUCAGCCCUCAUGAAGAAAGCCGCGGGAGGGCCAGCUCCGAGGAGCCGGCUGCGAGAAGGCCGACCCCAAGGAGCCGGCUCCCAUAAAGCAGUCAAGACCGUACCACCGAAGUCUGCAUCCACAUAACGGCGAUGUGACGGGGCGUGGCUACAGUCAAGCCUGCCACCCCCGAAUCCCGGAGCUCACCUGGCACAGUGCACCGUACGGGUGGCCAUGACCCGUCCAGCGCAGCACUGUUGCCACACUGACCCUGAUGUCAUCCACGACGGGCUACCAGUACGGCCCAUGGACGGUGGGCCCCGUCAGGCAGAGAGACACCUGAAGGCGGCCUGGCCUCCCCCAGUUGGCCCGAGACGGAGCCGGCUCUCUCCAGCCGGCUUGCCACCCCCUCGAAUGAGACGCCCCAUUAAGGAGACAAGACGCAGUGAGGCUACAGUGGUCACCCGCCGGACGGCAGCACUGUAGCCAUGCUUACCUCGGCGAAGCCCUUGUCACCAAGAUUGAGCAACAGUAACCAGCCACCGACAAGGCCCUGGACAGUGGGGCCUGCCUGUCGACCAGGGAGCCGGCAGCCGGCGGGACCCACCAGUCGGCGGGCCCCAGCAGCCGGCGCAGAAGCCGGAGAGCGAAGACACAGACGGCUGGGCCCCACGCCCAGCCGGAUUACCAUUGUACCCCCGGGAGGGUAGGCCUAUAUAAACCCCCCGGGACACCCAUGCAAAGGGUUGAUCCCUGCUAGUUUUAGACACCACGUAGGGAGGAGAAGAGAGCAAGCAGAGCCCUUCUUUCUCCUCUCGUCAAACAACUCAAGGAGCAUCGUGUAGCUACUUGUUCAUCUAGUGAUCACGCGGAGACCCCGCAGAGCAGUAGUAGGGGUGUUAUCUCCACGGAGAGCCCCGAAGCUGGGUAAGAUUCGUCGGCGUGCAUGUCUUCGCCUCAUCCCGUUUCCAGGCACCGGUGAUGUUUUACUGGCUCCCACAAUGAUAAGCCACCCGCUGGCAUAUGUCGCACCUACCACCCGACAUUUGGCGCCCACCGUGGGGCCAGGUGCACCGUCGUCCGGAAACCUGUUCUGGACGGGAACCCUCUUCCUCCCCCGCGAGCGUAGCCAGCCUGGCACGCCUGAUGGCGCUUGCCACGACGCGCUGCAAGGCGUCACCAACGCCUGCGCAGCGAGCAGCCUCGCUGAUCUCCUCGACAAGACCCUCAUCUCCGACGAGCUCGCCUCCGACACGGGCACCGACCACCUCGUCAACCUCCUCGGCCGGCUCCAUGUCCCUGGCGAGCCUGCUGUGGACUUGGAGUCGGUUGGCUCCACAGAUCCGAUGCCUGUCGACUCCGACACGGCCUAGUUCGACACCUUCCCCACCAACGUCACGAUCUACAAUGACCCGCUUCCCCGAGCCGAUGGCUGCGACGCUGUCACCACCGAGGUGAUGGUCAUCAGCCACGACGGCGCUGCUGAUGAGAGCGCCCACGACGCCCCGCACACGGCGGUCCACGACUUGUCCAUCCCCCUCCCGGCCGACACUGACGCUGAAGCACUAGAGGCUCACCGCCUCGCCUUCCUCGCGGAAGGCCGGAAAUUGGUUUCCAUGAGAUGCCUCGCUGAGGCCCACCGACGCGAGGCCGACCGCGCCGCCUUUGGCACGCCGCCCCCAGGCGGGCCCAGCCGGGUCGGCAUUGUCAGACAGCGCGGCGCUGUCGUUGCCGACACGUUAGGAGUCGACCGCCCAGUCUACGCCACUCCACUCGAGAACCUGCGCGCCGCCCAGGCGGCCGUAGACGAGCUAGACGGACUGGGGGCCGAAGAACUCCCCCACAUUACCCGACGCAUCCAGCAGCUGAUCGAUGCAGCCGCGCAGCGGCACGAAGCCGACGCCCGCGUGGAAAGCCCUCCCCCGCGCCGAGAUCACGGCGCGAUGUCCCGGACGCCGACUGCGGGUAGAGACCGCGCGCGGCGCGAGAAAGAGCCGGCUGCCAGCCGAAGCCAAACCCGGAUCUCCGUCGAGCGAGACGCAGAAGGCCACCCUCGGGCCGUGGAGUGGCAGGGCAACCCGCCUCCGCCCCGGCCCCAUGGAGAGAGGUAUCCCACCCCUCCGCCGGUGGCGCAUCCGACUCUCAGCGGCUGACUAGGUCGCCGCGAAGGAGUCGGCGAAAACGACGCCCGCCAUCGGAUCGACCGCCUGGCGCGAUCCCUGGCGCUGGAAGAAGAAGACGAUGUCGGUCCGCCUUGCUUCAGCCCCCGCAUCCGCGACGAGCCCUUCCCCAAAGGGUUCUCGCUCCCAAGAGACACGCCCAAGUACAACGGCUCCGUGAAGCCGGAAGAUUGGUUGAUCAACUACUCCACAGCGGUUAGCAUAGCCAAUGGCAACCGGCGCGUUGCCGUGCAGUACGUGCCCCUCAUGCUGCAAGGCACAGCGCGGACCUGGCUCAACAGCCUCAAACCACGCAGCAUCAACAGCUGGCUAGAUUUCACAGAAGCUUUCGUCCGCAACUUCACCAGCACCUACAAGCGGGCUCCCAAGCCCAGACAGCUCUCCUUGUGCGUACAAGGCCCCGCCGAGUCAACUCGCGACUACCCCACGCGUUUGGCCGAGCUCCGCAACUCUUGCAAAGGGGUGCACGAGGUGCAAGACAUCGAAUACUUCACAGCCGGGUGUCGAGAAGGCACCCUCCUCAAGCACAAGCUUCUCUGCGACGAGCCGACUACCCUCGACGAGCUUCUGGACAUAGUGGACAAGUACGCCACCGCCGACUCCUCAAUGAAGACCGAGCUCCGGGUAGAUGCAUCCGGAAAAGUACUCAACCCGGCACCCAAGACGCCGGCUGGGGAUUCCGGCCGACGCCCACACUCGAACGACCACAAGCACAAGGGCCCCGCGCCACCUCCCGCUAGUCGGCAGGUGGCCACAGUCGAAGACGUGCCGCCCGAAGGGCGGCCCGCGCCCAAGAAACCCAAGGGCGGCAGGCCGGCUUGGCAGCCGACCUUCUCCUACGAGCAAACUCUCAACGCCCCGUGCAAGUUCCACAGCGGCGCGAAGCCGUCCAACCACACAACCCGGAAGUGCCAUUGGCUCACCCGAAUCUGCAAAGGCGAAGGGCUCGCACCGCCUCCGCCUGCCGGCCCGCCGCCUUCGGUUCCGCCGGUGCCGGCCGCUCGGCCCGCAGUCGGAGCCGUGCAUGAUGAGUUCCCCGACGAGCAUGCCGCCUAUAUCAUCUUUACAAGCCAGCCCGAAGACCGGCGCAACAAAUGCCGAGAGAACGAGGAAGUCAGCAUGGUUGCUGCCAACCCCGUCGAGCACAUGCACUGGUCGGAAAAACCCAUCAGCUAGAGCCGGGCCGAUCACCCAGAGGUGAUGCCAUCUCCCGGCUCUUAUGCGUUGGUUCUGGAUGCCACCCUUGCAACGGACAGACGCGCCGCCUGCUUCUCCCGUGUGUUGAUAGACGGCGGGAGCAACAUCAACAUCUUGUACCGCGACACCCUGGAGAAGCUGAACGUCAAGACAAAGCAACUCAUGCCUACUCGAACAGUGUUCCAUGGCAUCGUACCCGGCCUGUCCUGUGCCCCCAUUGGCAAGAUCAAGAUUGAUGUACUUUUUGGGGACAAGGAGCAUUUCCGCCGGGAAGCGAUCUAGUUUGAAGUGGUGGACCUGGAGAGCCCUUACCAUGCAUUGCUUGGCCGACCUGCCUUGGCCAAAUUCAUGGCAGUUCCCCACUAUGCAUACCUCAAGAUGAAGAUGCCAAGCACCAAAGGCGUCAUCACCAUAGCCGGCGAUUACAAGAAGUCCUCUGAGUGCGCAGCAGCCAGCAGCCGGCUGGCCGAGUCCCUUGUGAUUGCCGAAGAAAAGAAGAUGUUGGACCGAGUCUGGCCAUAGCCGGCAAGCAGUCGGCCUUGUCCCCCGAUCCCAAGGAGCAUGAUGCUCAAGGAUCUUUCCAGCCGGCCAAGGAGACAAAGAAGAUACCUCUUGACCCCGAGCACCCAGAGAGGUUUGCCGUCAUUGGGGCAAACCUAAACAGCAAAUAGGAAGGUGAGCUCGCCGAUUUCCUCCAUGAGAAUCGGGACAUCUUUGCAUGGUCCCCCAAGGACAUGCCGGGCGUCCCGAAGGAAUUCGCCGAGCACAAACUACACGUCCGAGAAGACGCAAAGCCAGUCAAACAACCCCUUCGCCGACUGUCGGAGAAGAAACGCAGGAUUGUGGGAGAGGAGAUAGCCCGGCUUCUGGCAGUCGGCUUCAUUAUGGAAGUUUUCUUUCCAGAGUGGCUCGCCAACCCGGUCCUCGUGCUAAAGAAGAACAACAAGUGGCGCAUGUGUAUAGACUACACGAGCCUCAACAAGGCCUGCCCCAAAGACCCCUUUGCCCUGCCGAGGAUUGGCCAAGUGAUAGACUCCACGGCCGGAUGCGAGCUGUUGAGUUUCUUGGAUGCUUACUCAGGGUAUCACCAGAUAAAGUUGGAUCCGGCAGACCGCCUGAAGACCACCUUCAUCACGCCAUUCGGAGCCUUCUGCUACCUGACUAUGACAUUCGGCUUGAGAAAUGCCGGUGCCACUUUUUAGCGUUGCAUGCAGAAGUGCCUCCUCAAGCAACUCGGCAGGAAUGCCCACGUCUACGUAGACGACAUUGUGGUGAAGACGGAGAAGCGCGGCACCUUGCUGGAAGACCUCAAGGAAACAUUUGAGAACCUACGCCGGUUCCAAAUCAAGCUUAACCCCGAGAAAUGCGUGUUCGGAGUACCAGCCGGCCAGCUCCUAGGCUUCCUGGUCUCCAAACGCGGCAUCGAAUGCAACCCAGUAAAGAUCAAGGCCAUUGAGAGAAUGGCGAUUCCCACCAAACUUCGAGACGUCCAGAAGUUUACCGGAUGCUUGGCCUCCCUAAACCGCUUCAUCAGCCGGCUCGGAGAGAAAGCUCUCCCCCUCUACCGCCUCAUGAAGAAGACCACUCACUUCGAGUGGAAUGACCAAGCUGACCAAGCUUUCCACGAGCGGAAGAAGAUGCUGGCCACACCGCCAGUCCUAGCGGCGCCGACUGAGAAAGAGCCCAUGCUCCUCUACAUUGCCGCAACCAGCCGGGUGGUCAGCACCGUCAUUGUAGUCCAACGCCCAGAAGAAGGCCGAGCCCAGCCGGUCCAGAGGCCGGUCUAUUAUUUGAGCGAGGUGCUGUCUACCUCGAAGCAGAACUACCCGCACUACCAGAAGAUGUGCUAUGGCGUGUACUUUGCCGCCAAGAAGCUGAAGCCCUACUUCCAAGAGCAUCCCAUCACGGUCGUAUGCACCGCCCCGCUGGCCGAGAUCAUAGGCAGCCGGGAUGCAUCCGUCCGGGUGGCAAAAUGGGCCAUCGAGCUGGCCCCUUACACGAUCUUCUACCAGCCUCGCACCGCCAUCAAGUCCCAAGCAUUGGCCGACUUCCUCGUCGACUGGGUCGAGACCUAGUACAUACCGCCGGCUCCCGACUCCACUCAUUGGCGCAUGCACUUCGAUGGGUCCAAGAUGCGCACCGGCUUGGGAGCCGGCAUCAUCCUCACCUCUCCCAAAGGCGACAAGCUCAGAUACACGCUGCAAAUUCACUUUGCCGCCUCCAACAACGUGGCCGAGUACGAGGCGCUCAUACACGGGCUCCGGCUUGCCAAAGAACUCGGCAUUCGCCGGAUCCUAUGUUAUGGCGACUCAGACUUGAAGGUCCAGCAAUCAUCCGGCGACUGGGAUGCCAAGGACGCAAAUAUGGCAAGCUACCGCUUCCUCGUUCAGCAGACCAGCGGGUAUUUUGAAGGAUGCAAAUUCCUCCACGUACCGCGAGCCGACAACGAGCCAGCUGAUGCUCUGGCUCGAAUAGGCUCCACCCGGCAAGCAAUACCAACUGGCGUCUCUCUACAACGCCUCCUCAAGCCGUCUAUCAAGCCGUCUCCAGAGUCCGAUUCCAUCUUCGUGCCGCCUGACCCCGAUGCGGCCGGGUCUGGCUCGAAGAACCAAGCAGGUGGCCCGGGGACAUCGAUAGUCGGCCAGGGGGUAUCAGCAGGUGGCUCGGGGACUUCCGUAGUUACGCCCGACCCGGGGACUGCCUCACCCGGCUCGGGGACUGCGGUAGUCGGCCCGGAGACUACACCAACACAACAGGCGGCGGCCGACUCCAGCAUUUCACCACCCAGCCCGCCCGCCCUGCUCACAGUAGCCAUUUUGGCAAUAGAAGAAGUCACAGCUCCGUCAUGGGCUCAAUCCAUCCUCAACUUCCUAAUAAACCAAGAUCUGCCGGCUGACGAAGUAGAGGCAAGACAAGUCCAACGCCGAGCUGGAGCAUACACAAUCGUCAAUAGAGAGCUCGUCAAGUGCAGUGUCACUAGAGUCCUCCAGCGAUGCAUCGAGCAAGAGAAGGGCAUUGCAAUCCUCAGAGACAUCCACCAAGGAGAAUGUGGCCACCAUGUGGCCUCAAGAUCACUCGUCGCCAAAGCCUUCCGCCAUGGUUUCUUUUGGCCGACUGCUUUGGAUGACGCCAAGGAGUUAGUUAAAAAGUGCAAAGGGUGCCAACUCUUCAGCUCCAAGCAACACAUGCCAGCUUCAGCACUCAAGACCAUUCCCCUCACCUGGCCCUUCGCCGUUUGGGGACUAGACAUGGUGGGCCCAUUCAAGACAGCGCGCGGCGGCAUGACACAUCUGCUUGUCGCCGUGGACAAAUUCACCAAAUGGAUUGAAGCAAAGCCGAUCAAGAAGCUGAAUGGGCCGACUGCCGUCACAUUUAUCGCAGAUAUAACAACUCGGUACGGCGUGCCACACAGCAUCAUCACCGACAAUGGCACAAAUUUCGCCAAGGGAGCCUUGGCACGUUUCUGCGCGACGCUAGGCAUCUGGUUGGAUCUAGCAUCCAUCGCCCACCCGCAGUCAAACAGCCAGGUCGAGCGAGCCAACGGCCUCAUCCUUUCCGGCAUCAAGCCCCGACUAAUCGUACCACUGGAGCGUUCAGCCGGCUGUUGGCUCGAUGAGCUGCCGGCUGUCCUUUGGAGUCUGCACACUACACCAAACAAGUCAACCGGCUUCACCCCUUUCUUCCUCGUGUAUGGUGCCGAGGCGGUCAUCCCAACUGACAUCAAGUUCGACUCGCCUCGAGUAACCAUGUACACGGAAGCGGAGGCCAAGGAAGCACGAGAAGACGGCGUCGACCUGCUAGAAGAAAGUCGGCUGUUAGCCCUCAGCCGGUCCGCCAUCUAUCAGCAGGGCCUGCGCCGCUACCACAGCUGGAAGGUCAAGCCAAGAUCCUUCCAAGAGGGCGAUCUUGUGCUCCGGCUGAUCCAGCGAACAGCCGGCCAGCACAAGCUCUCGGCCCCUUGGGAGGGCCCCUUCGUCAUCAGCAGAGCCUUAGGUAACGACUCCUACUACCUGAUCGACGCGCAGAAGCCGAAGGCACGAAAGAGAGACGACUCCGGCAAGGAGUCGGAACAACCAUGGAACGCCAACCUCCUCCGAAGGUUUUACAGCUGAAAUGCAGUAUGUAUCACACUAACUUUUGUACUAAGUACGAGACAAUAGGGCCCCCGAGGAGAGCUCGGGGACUGCCAUCUUUUGUCUAUAAAUGAAAAGUAUCAUGCUUAUGGCCUUGUCAUUGCAUUCACUUUUUUCCGUCUGGCACCGGGUUCGACUAGUCGGCCCGGGGACAGGCCGCCUGGAGUUAUAUUAGAAGUACUACCCGCAGUCAAACAAGUAGUGUGCCGGCUCCCAAGCCUUCUCUUGCCAAAAGUCGCAGUUCGAAGAACCGGCUGUCCGGCUGGCAAGAGUUAAGGGCAGGAACGGGUGCCCACACGAAAAACGCUAGGGACUAACAGACUAAUAUAACAAAAGCCGUUUUUUUCUCCCACCGCCGACCGGCUACCAAAGUAGCCGGCCGGCCGGCUUCCAUUCACCUCGCUCCAAUCUAAGAAAGCUCAAGUACUUGCCUUCCCAGAAGGGGAAGACGGCAAAGGAAACAGCCUAAGGAUAAAAAGCAUACGUGAAUGGAAACCAAACAUGCACACGAUAAUAUUUACAUAAAAGACCUUCAAAAGGCCAGCAUUCAACAUAGUUUGGAUACACCCCCAGUGGGUGGAACCGCGGAAGCUUAAUAAAAUUGUUCAGAAGGCAACAAGCAGGAAAAAACAAGGACGGCAGAUUAAGCCGGCUGAGCGACCGAAGAGCCGGGCAGGUCGGUGGAGACGGCAGUGCCGGCUGGAGGAGCGGCCGGCUGGUGAACCUCGGCAUGAUCACCGCCUCCCACAGAGGGCGCGCUUGCGCACGCCUCGUUGCUCGAGGCACGGUCAGGCUGAGGCUGGCUGGCUGUUCCACCGGCCGGCUCGACGUCUUCGUCUUCCUCUACUUCGUCGUCUUCGCCUUCCUCGCUGGAGGCGAUUUCUUCUGCCGAGUCUUCACCCGCCGCCGGAUCCAGCCCGAACCACUCCUCCGGCUGGGCAACGCCGUCAUCAUUAAUCUCGGGAGCAAAGACGCUGAUGUCAGUACACUCGGCGAUUGUCGAUGCGCGCUGAGCGAUAGCCGGCCGCACCUUCGCUAGCUCCUCGUCGGCCUCCAGCCGUCAGGUGCGCAGCUGGUCCAGGUUCAGCCUCGGAUACCAAGCUCGGACGAACUCCAGCGCCCGCCCAGCUCCAAGUCGGGCCGCCGACGCCUUCCAGGCCUCGAACCGGCCAACCGCAACCUCCAGCCAGUCGGCAGUCUGACUCGGGGUGCGGGGAAUCGCCUCGCUUGGCCAGAGGGCGGCCAACACCUGCGCUCCGGCGCGCUGGAGACGGCGGAGCAUACGAUGAGCCGGCUGCAGCAGCGCUUGGACCGCCAAGAGUUGUUCUUCAAGCGACCGACUCGCGUCCGGCGCGACUUCAGCCCCUGCCUGCCGGCACGCUUCGCGAUGGGCCUCGAUGGUUUGGGCGGCGAGGACGGAGUAGCCAGGAAAGUAGUCUGCACAGAGAAUAAAAAGCAGCUCAAGUCAGAACACAAGUCAGGCGGCAAGGGGCAGGCAAGGAGCGAGGAAGGCGGCUCACCGUCGAUCAAAUCCUCAAUACGGCCGAAGCCUUCAUUCAGCGCUUGCCUAGUCUCAGCCCAGCCCGCCGCUUCAGUCUCGAACUCGGCCUUCAGGGCGGCUUCAUUAUCCUGCGCCUUCUUCAGAGCCGCCUUGUGGCUCUCCUCCUGGUCAGCCAGCUUCUUGGCCAGGCGGUCACGCUCUAGGACCAAGGUGUCGUACUCGGUUUCCUUGGCACGAAGGGCGGCCUGCGCCUCGCUGAGCUGCCCCCUUAAGUCGGCGUUGGCUUCUGCGAGCAUGAAAGACAAAAGAAAAACCAGUAAGGUGAAGUCGUCAGGAAAGAUCCGACCCGACUGCUCAGCAGUCGGCCCGAAUCUCGGGGACUACACCCAGUGGGUGCGCUGACGCGCCCCCACAGGAGAUGAAAGAAACCAAGUAUGUACUCCGGCUGCUGAUCAGGUCUUCGGUUCUCUGACCCAGCUCCUGGGCCUGGGAGUUGAAGGCGGCAGCGCGGAGGUUAUGAUAUUCCUGGAAGAUUAGACAGGAGGCGAGAAUAAGGUAGUUGUCAAGGAAGAUCCGACCCGACUGCUCAGUAGUCGGCCCGAAUCUCGGGGACUACACCCAGUGGGUGCGCUGACGCGCCCCCACGGAAGAAAUCAAGAGAACAAAGCAACCAAAGAUAGAAGACUCACCCGAAUGACGGCCCGCGUCGCAAGGAACUCCUGGGUGUAUUGCUACAGCGAGGCGGCUUGGGCCUGAAGCCGGUUCCGAACCUCUUGGGCCGCCACAUUCAGCUCGCCCGUCCCGCCGCUGGGAAUCCACUCGGACGUGCCGGUGCUGGCCGCCUCCAAGGCCUCCACCGUCCGGCGGGCACCCGAAGCUCGGUGCGGCUCCGGCGCAGCGGUGCCUCCCCCUGCGCGCUGGCGCACUGCCGGCUGCACCUCGAGGCCGGCUCCCGCUUCCGGCUCACCCCCAGUCGGCUGCUCUGGCGCCGCAGCCGACUGGCCGCCUUGGCUCGGUCCGGUUGGCGCUACCGGUGGCGCCCUCUCCACGAAGAUCACGGAGUCCUCCCUCCGCUCCAUCACCAGCGGUUCUUGGUCGACCUCCUCCAGCGGAGGCACAGGAAUGUUGGGGGCCACGGCGCGGAGGGGAAUGGCUAGCAGCGGAGGCUGGUUGUGCGAAGCCUCCGCCUCCGUCUCCACAGCUGCCGCCUCCGUCCGAGCCUUGGCUGCUGCGUUGGCCUGCUCCUUCAUCGCCUGGGCGGCCCUUCGCUUCGCCGCCUCCCGCUCCUCCCACGCCUCUCAUGCGUUCCGCUCCGUGGCCACCCUGAGGUCGGCGCGGGGAUCCACGCAGCGGGAGCCUGAAGACCCUCCAGUCGGCCCGACUACGGAGCCGCCCGGACCCCGCUCAAGGGAAAGCGGCGCCCUGUCCGGCGAGCAAAGAAAGGUUUAGAAAAGUUUUCAAUCGAAAAGAAGAACAACAAAAAAUAUAUCCAAGCAUUCGACGACUUACGCUGAGAUCGCCUGCGGCUGCUUCACCGCCUUGCGGAAGCGGGCCGCCUUCGCGGCCGCCUCAUCUCGCUUGGUCGCCGUUGUGGAAGCCUUGGACUUCUUCGGACGGCUGCCGAAGAGGAUCGACACGGCCCGGCGGACGAGCUCGCGCUUUGAUGAUCAGGCGCCGGUUGGCGGCGCGGGGCGACUUCAACCUCGGCAUCAUCCGGCCAGUCCUCGAAGUCGGCCGUGAGCCCCGCGCCUCCGGCCCCGUCGCUUUCCCCCAUGAUGGCGUCUUCCAUGGCGGCCACUACCAAGUCUGGGUCAUCGGCAUCGUCCACCGUGCGGUAGGGGAGGAGCUGGCGCUCUACCCCCACGGCCCCGGCUGUCGGCGGGAGAAGAGGGUUCUGCAAAAGGCAAACGAACUGAUCAAGAGUCAGCUAUCAUGAGGCCGGCUACAAAAGGAAGAAAAGAAGAAAAAACUUACGAUGGGCGGAGGGUUGGCGCGAGAGUACGGCCCCUUGCCGUACCGACAAUCCUCGCCGAGCUUGCAGUUGGAGAUAUAGUUCACCAUGUAGGAGACCUCCGCAUGAGGCAUCUCCCUGGUGCUCAGCCGAAAUGGGUCGAAGAGGCCGCUCAUCUGACAAACCAUGUGAGGCCGGCUUUGGAGGGGAAGAACCCGGCGCUCCAUGAAGGCGGCCACCAAGUCGGCUCCGGUCAGGCCCUCUGACUGGAUCAUCACCCGAAGUCGGGAGACGGCUGCGUUCCCGGCCUGAGACAGCGACCUGGCCCAGUAGCUCCACGAAGGCUGCCUCCCAGCCGGCGGGCCGGCUACGUAAUCCGGCAGGUUGACAUAGUCGCUUUGCUGGGCGACGUUCCUCAUGUAGAAAUAAGACUUCUGCCAAAGCUUCACCGACUGGAUUAGCGGAAUGGACGGGAACGAAUUGUUCUCGCUCGCCCGCCUCAUGGUGAUGAAGGCUCCGCAGGGGGCGGGCACGCCCGCGACGACGGUGCCGAGUUUUCUCUGGAAGAAUUCCGCCCAGAGCUCGAGCGUGGGGAGGACCCCAAGGAAGCCCUCGCACAGCGUGACGAAGGCCGACAGCAGCAUCACCGUGUUGGGCGUGAGGUGAUGCGGCUGGAGGUUGUAGAAUUCGAGGAAGGCCCGGAGGAACCCGCUCGCCGGAAGGCCGAAGCCGCGCAGGCAGUGCGAGCGGAAGAUCACCCGCUCGCCUUCCUCCGGUGCCGGCGAAAUCUCCUUCUCCGGCGCUAGACGAACCCGAACGAAGUUCUCGCCGGGAAGGCGUCGCGUCUGGCGGAGGAAUGCGACGUGGUCCUCAUGGACGUUGGAGCCAUCCCACGAGCUUGACAGCACCAUGGGGCAGCGCGGCGAGAAGCAAGACGAUGCGGCGGCGGAACGGCGCGGCAAAGAGCUGCUACGGGGAAGAGAAGAAGGAGGGCGAGAAGGGGGCGGAGUGAGGGAGAGCGCGCGAGCCUCUGCCGCCCCCUCCUCCUCCUACUUAUAGACCACGCGGCGGAGCUGAGGAGGCGCGGCGUGGGGGAAUGUGGGGAUCAACUGCACCCACUCCCCCACGUCUCGCGAUUACUGUAACUUGAUGGCAGAAUAAAACCGCCGCGGGAAGGCGAGCGGUCCAUGUGGGCCGCGGAAGAUCCGCGCUCGGACCGAGGCCUGCGAGUGGCGGGCUCGGGCCUGCGGCGGCGUCCCGCCGCGCUGUGCAUUGGCAGGAUUUCCUCGCCACGUGGCUGAAAGCACAAGUGCUCCCUAGGUGGUUUUGAUAAUUGAUGACAACAUAUCUCUUGUUGGACUAACAUUUCUAUCUAGCAUGUUUCAGAUAAGUUCAACAAUGGAGUGGCAUGGACUAAAGGUUGUGGGAACUCCUUCAAGAUGCUAAGGACAAAGGAUUGGCUAAAGCUUAAAGCUCAAGACUCUUCAUUUUACAUUUUAGUGAUCCAAGAUCACAUUGAGUCCAUAGGAAAAGCCAAUACUACCAAGGAGGGAUGAGGUGUUGCUUAAUGAGCCUCUUGCUUCAUGUGCUUAGUGAUAUGCUCCAAAACCCUCAACUACUUUCCCACUUCCACAUAUGACCUAAACCCAAAGCCAAACUCAGUCAUACCGAUUCUUUCUAUCCGGCGCCACCGAGUUUCACUUGUCAUAAGCCACUGCCAAACCCUAGCAAUUCGGUUCUACCGAUAGGGAUCUCGGUCUCACCGAGAUGGGAUUGCAAACUCUCUGUUACCUAUUGCAAUAUUUUCGGUCCCACCGGAAUAUGCAAUCGGUCCCAUCGAGAUUGCAAUGUAAAUUCAGUGUUUCCUUUUUGUAACUUCUUGGUCUCACCGAAAGAGCAAAUCGGUCCCACCGAGUUUGCCUGACCAACUCUCUGGUUAGCUAAUUACCAAAUUCGUUCUCACCGAGUUUGUGUAAUCGGUCUCACUGAGAUUACGUUAUGCCCAAACCCUAACCAUAUCGGUCCUACCGAGUUGCAUGUCAGUCCCACCGAAAAUCUCUAACGGUCACUAGGUUUACAUUUUCAGUCCGACCGAGUUUGUUGAUUCGGUCCCACCGAGAUUGGAAAACUAUGUGUAACUGUUGGAUUUUGUGUGGAGGUUAUAUAUACCCCUCCACCUCCUCUUCAUUCGAAGAGAGAGCCAUCAGAACGCAUACACCAUUCCAACUCAUAUGUUCUGAGAGAGAACCACCUACUCAUGUGUUGAGACCAAGAUAUUCCAUUCCUACCAUAUGAAUCUUGAUCUCUAGCCUUCCCCAAGUUGCUUUCCACUCAAAUCUUCUUUCCACAAAAUCCAAAUCCUAUGAGAGAAAGUUGAGUGUUGGGGAGACUAUCAUUUGAAGCACAAGAGCAAGGAGUUCAUUACCUACACACCAUUUGUUACUUCUUGGAGAGUGGUGUCUCCUAGAUUGGCUAGGUGUCACUUGGGAGCCUCCGACAAGAUUGUGGAGUUGAACCAAGGAGUUUGUAAGGGCAAGGAGAUCGCCUACUUCGUGAAGAUCUACCGCUAGUGAGGCAAGUCCUGUGUGGGUGAUGGACAUGGUGGGAUAGACAAGGUUGCUUCUUCCUGGACCCUUUGUGGGUGGUUGCUUCUUCGUGGACCCUUCGUGGGUGGAGCCCUGUGUGGACUCGCGCAACCGUUACCCUUUGUGGGUGGAGCCCUGUGUGGACUCGCGCAACCGUUACCCUUUGUGGGUUGAAGUCUCCAUCAACGUGGAUGUAGGAUAGCACCACUUAUCCGAACCACGGGAAAAACAUCCGUGUCUCCAAUUGCGUUUGAUUUCUCCAAACCCUUCCCUUUACAUUCUUGCAAGUUGCAUGCUUUACAUUCCGCUGCUCAUAUACUCUUUGCAUGCUUGCUUGAUAUGUAUUGUGUGUGUUGAAAUUGUGCCUAAACUCCACUUAAACCGAAAAAGCUUAAAAAUUGCAACUUUAGCAUUAAGUGUCUAAUCACCCCCCCUCUAGACACAUCUACUUCUAGAUCCUACAAGUGGUAUCAGAGCUUUGGUCUCCAUUGCCUUGGUUUAAUCACCAUUGGAGGAAGAUGGAUGUGUCUACAUUAGGGAGUCUUAGACAUAGAGUGCCUAUUCUUGAUGGAGAGUAUUUUCAUUAGUGGAAAAAUGAGAUGCUUGUAAUCUUCAAUCAAUAUCAUUUGAACAAGUAUAUUGCUAGCCCUUGUGCAUCUCAUAUUGAUCCUUUGCAUCCUACCCUAGAUGAAGAUAUUGACAUGAUUCGCAAUCUUAGAACUAUUGAGCUCAUUAUUAGAGGAUUGCCCAAAAAUUUGAUUGCUAGUUUGCCUACUCAAAAUUGUGCCUAUACUAUAUGGAAAUUUCUUGAGGAACGAUUUCCCGACCAUUCCUUGAAAACUUUGGAUGAAAUUCUCCAUAAAUCUAUUGCCUUGAGUAAGAUGAACUCUAGUGAUCCUAGUUUUGGUAAAUGUCUAUUUGAACUUACCAAUCUUAAGCAUGCUAAAGAAGAUGUUGGAAUCAUUAAUGAUAUCAUAUUCAAAGCUAUAAGAAUUCAUAAAAGUGACCACUUUGAUGACCAUUUAUCUAAUGAAUUACCCUCUCUAGGAAAUGAUGAGUCACAAGAUCAUGAUGAACAUGAAUAUUAUGAUGAUGAUGAUGAUAGUGACUUCGAUCUUGAUAAUGCAAUGAAACAUUUUGGUCUUAUGGCUAAUCUUCGGGGAUAUGAAUCAGGAGGAAAGGAAUGGGUUCUUGAUAGUGGAUGUACUGAUCAUAUGACCGGAGAUGAAGAGAUGUUUCGUGAGCUUGCUGAAAAUGACGGACCUCGAAAAUAUGUCACCUUUGGUGAUAAUUCAAAGGGUAAAGUGGUUGGCCUUGGUAAGGUGGCCAUCUCACAUGAUAGUUCCAUUCAAAAUGUCAUGCUCGUUGAAUCUCUUGGCUACAACUUACUUUCAGUAUCUAGACUUGCUGAUUUCGGUUUGAAUGUCCUAUUUACUGAGGUAGAUUGCCAAGUAUUUCGUCGAGACAAUCAUAAAAUGGUCUUUACGGGUAUGCGUAGAGGUGAUCUUUACAUUGUCGAUUUCUCUAAAAAGGCACAACCUAAAACUUGCUUUGUUGCUAAAUCCUCAAAAGGUUGGUUGUGGCAUAGACGACUAGGUCACGUUGGCAUGAGAAACCUUGACAAGCUUAUUAAAGGAAAUCAUAUCCUUGGAGUUAACGAUGUCAUAUUUGAUAAGGAUAGACUUUGCAGUGCUUGUCAAGCAGGUAAAUAGGUUGGAGGAAGGCAUCCCGUGAAGAACAUCAUGACCACAAGAAGGCCACUCGAGCUACUUCAUAUGGAUCUUUUUGGUCCCAACGCCUACAAGAGUCUCGGUGGAAAUUCUUUUGGUCUAGUUAUAGUUGAUGAUUUUUCAAGAUUUACGUGGGUGUUCUUUCUUAAUGACAAGUCGCAGGUCCAGAAGAUCUUCAGAAACUUCGCUAGGAAGGCCCAAAAUCAGUUUGACGUGAAGAUCAAGAAGGUUCGGAGUGACAAUGGAACGGAGUUCAAGAACGCAAAUGUGGACACCUUUCUUGACGAAGAAGGGAUUUCACACGAGUUCUCGGCUACGUACACACCUCAACAAAAUGGAGUUGUUGAGAGGAAGAACCGGACGCUCAUCGAAAUGGCAAGAACGAUGCUUGAUGAAUACAAGACGCCAAAGCACUUUUGGGCAGAAGCGGUUGAGACAGCUUGUCACGCAACAAAUCGCUUAUAUCUUCACAAGCUACUCGGCAAGACGGGAUACGAGCUUCUCACCGGUAACAAACCCCAAGUUGGAUAUUUUUGAGUAUUCGGCUCAAAGUGCUACAUUCUUGAUAAGCAUCAUCGUUCAAAGUUUGCUCCUAAAUCUCAUGAAGGUUUUCUACUUGGUUAUGGCUCAAACUCUCACACUUACCGUGUCUACAACAAUUUCACCUGAAAGGUUGAAGAGAUGGUAGAUGUGAAGUUUGAUGAAUCUAAUGGCUCGCAAGUAGAGCAAUUGCCAAUUGAUGUAGGAGACAAAGACCCUUCAGAAGCAAUUCAAGACUUGUCCAUUGGCAAAAUUCGUCCAACGGAGGUGAAGGAGAGUACUUCAUCCGUCCAAGUGGAAGCUUCUACUUCACGACAACGUGAACCAAGAAUCGACACGGAAGCAUCCACAAGUGGGACACACCAAGAUGAAGAAAACGAGGAAAUACGUCAAGACGAACAUCAACAACCUCCUUCUCCACCACGACAAGAGAACGACGACGUCAACAAUGAAGAAGGCCAAGAAGAAGAACAAGAUGAAGAAGAUGUUCAACGAAGACCCAAGCAAAAGCUCUCACGAGUUCGAGCAAGAAUUGCCAAAGAUCAUCCCGUCGAGCAAAUCCUCAAUGAUAUACAAACCGGGAGAAUCACUUGCUCAAAAACUCGUUUAGCUAACUUUUGUGAAAACUAUUCAUUCAUCUCUAGCAUUGAACCUAUGAAGGUUGAAGAAGCAUUAGAAGAUCCAGAUUGGAUAAACACUAUGCAUGAAGAGCUACAUAAUUUUGAGAGAAACCAAGUUUGGACAUUGGUUGAGAAGCCCGACAACAACCACAACAUCAUUGGUACCAAAUGGGUGUUUCGCAACAAGCAAGAUGAAGAUGGACAAGUGGUUCGCAACAAAGCACGUCUCGUCGCCCAAGGGUACACACAAGUCGAAGGUAUGGACUAUGGUGAGACGUAUGCUCCCGUUGCUAGACUUGAGUCCAUUCGCAUCUUACUUGCCUAUGCUAAUCACCAUAAUAUCACCUUGUACCAAAUGGACAUUAAAAGUGCUUUUCUAAAUGGUGAAAUAGAGGAGGAAGUUUAUGUCAAACAACCUCCCGGCUUUAUCAACCCUAAGAAACCAAAUCAUGUUUACAAACUUCACAAAGCUCUUUAUGGUCUUAAACAAGCUCCUAGAGCAUGGUAUAAAUGCUUGACCAAGUUCCUUACUACAAGUGGUUUUGAAAUUGGUAAAAUUAAUUCUACUCUUUUUACUAAAAGGGUUAAUGGAGAACUAUUUGUAUGCCAAAUUUAUGUUGAUGAUAUCAUAUUUGGUUCAACUAACCCUCUCUUUAGUGAAAAGUUUGGAAAGCUAAUGUCAGAGAAGUUUGAGAUGUCUAUGAUGAGUGAACUCAAAUUCUUUCUCGGGUUGCAAAUCAAGCAAACUAAGGAAGGUACAUUUGUCUCUCAAACAAAGUACACCAAGGACUUAUUCAAGAAGUUCAAUAUGCAAGAAUGCAAAGGUAUGUCUACACCCAUGCCUACUAGUGGACAUAAUGAUUUAACCAAAGAUGGUGAACCGGUUGAUCAAAAGGUUUAUCGCUCUAUGGUUGGUUCAUUGUUAUACCUAUGUGCUUCACGUCCCGAUAUUAUGCUAAGUGUGUGCAUGUGUGCACGAUAUCAGGCUGCUCCUAAAGGUUGUCAUCUUAAGGCUGUGAAAAGGAUAGUGAGAUAUUUAAUCCAUACACCAAAUUUUGGCAUUUGGUAUCCUAAGAGGUCUUCUUUUGAUCUUGUUGGCUAUUCUGACUCGGAUUAUGCCGGAGACAAGGUUGAUAGAAAGUCUACUUCGGGUACUUGUCAAUUUCUUGGUAGAUCUCUUGUGUCUUGGUCUUCCAAGAAACAAAACUCGGUAUCCUUAUCCACCGCCGAAGCGGAAUACAUUGCCGCUGGUUCAUGUUGUGCUCAAUUACUUUGGAUGACCCAAACUCUUAAAGAUUAUGGGAUUUAUGUGAAACAUGUUCCACUACUUUGUGACAAUGAAAGUGCUAUCAAAAUUGGUCAUAAUCCUGUACAACAUUCUCGAACUAAGCAUAUUGAAGUUCGUCAUCAUUUCAUUCGAGAUCAUGUUGCUAAGGGUGACAUCAAUCUUAAGCAUGUUCGCACCGAUAAGCAAUUAGCGGAUAUAUUCACUAAACCACUUGAUGAGAAAGGGUUUUGCAGGUUGAGAGGAGAAUUGAACAUCAUUGAUGCUUCGAACUUGGAGUAGAAACUCCAUUAGAUACAUGCAAGAUAUGAGCUUAUGACUAAUCCAUGAUAUAUCUCUUAUGAUAACUAUCUUAUGUCUUGGAUAUAUUUGCACCUUGCAUGUUGUCUAACCCAUGUAGGUGCUUGGUUGAAUCUAAUUCCAUGAGAUUGCGACUCACUCACAUCUUGAGCAAUCUCUACAAGACCAAGACUCUACACAAUAGUGGUUGAAGACAAGGAAGCACAAAACCAUUCAAACAUAUCCUUUGACAAAUUCUAUGUUAAGCCUCAUGAUUGUCAUUUUUGGAUACACAAGUGCUCUUCCUUGCAAGAACUAACCCCUGUAGGUAGAUGAACUCAAACUCCAAGUGGUUCUCCCAACUCUUGAUGACCUACAUCAACCUUGAGAACCCACACAAGUUCAACUACAUGAGCAAGAACCACACUACCACCCAAGGUAUGUUAUUCCAUCUUAGAGAAGCUUUACUCCAAGACAUGAGUCAAAGCAACUCAACAAGAUGUGAAUACAUCAAGAUGCUUAAAUGAAAAAUGGUAACCCCAUUUUGAGCUUAAACAAUGAGUAUGACCUAUGAUCAAGUGUUCUCACUUGACUCCUAAGUCAAUAUACUCUAACAUAGGUGACUAUGUCACCGCCCAACUCUAGAUGAAGCUCUCUUGUGUUCUUUCUUUGUGUUAUUGCAUUUGUCUCAUGCAUGUUUAUUUUCUCUCUCCUUUUUCAAAAACAAAAAAAAACUUCAUCUAGAUCUUUUAGUCCCUUCUUUUUUUCUCUUUUUUUUGUUCUGCAUUUUCUGCACUUAAUUCCUUGCAAAUCCUUCAGGAAAUUCACUGCAAAUCUUUGUGAGAUCUUACUUGACUAGUGAGCUGAGGUGACAAGUGUUUUUCUCUGUGAUGAACUCGGUUUCACCGAAUUGUCAUUUUCGGUCCAACCGAAUCCCUUCGGUACUACCGAAACAUGCCACUCGGUGCCACCGAUUUCGCAACAGGAAAAACAGUUUGUCACAUAUUCUCUAUUUCUUCUGAUCCAGCUCCACUCAAUGAAUCUUGUCCUCUACAAGCAUCACAGUUUUAUUCACUGCUUUGUGCUGAAUCUCAAGGACCAAACCUAUUCGACGGAUUCCAGGAAAAACCUUCUUGGAAAUUGAUGUCAAAGGGGGAGAGAGAGAUCACAUCAAAGCUUAUCAUCAGGGAGAGAGAGAUCACAUCAAAAGCUUAUCACCUACAAAGGAGAAAGUACUAAGGGGGAGAGAAUACUCAAGGAUCCCAUAUAUUAAGGGGGAGAAAGAAAUCUCCAAGGGGAGAGAAUACUCAAGGAUCCCAAAUGCUUGAUGUUCAAGAAGAGAGAUGCCACAUGUCUUUUUGGGGGAAAGACAUGUUCAUAUGAACUCAUUUGAAUUAAGUUCUAUUCAUAUCUUUCAGCACUGAUUUUCUGUUUCCUAUCUUCUCCCAAUAUCCCAUGUUAGAUUCAGGGGGAGCAAGACACCUAAGGGAAAGAAAUCAGUCAAAUUCAUUGCAUAUCUUUAUUCUUGGGGACAUGUUGAAUUCAAUGUGGUACCUUGUACUCACUCUCUACAUGUCAUCCCAGUCUUGGUAUUCUUGUGGUUUCUUUUGUUUGCUCUGGCUAGUGGAUGUACCUGUGUUAUCUAACCUUGUUUGUGCAGGUUCAUUCCAUCCUAAGCCAACUCAAGACCACAAGGUAAGUAUAUGCAUCAAAAUCAUGAGUAUGAGGAGUUCUUGCUUAUGUACAUACUGUUUGCAAGAAGGACUCAUGAGCAUGAAGAUAUUUUCCUUGAUAAUCUUUUGCUCUGAUGCAUAUGGCCAAGAUGCAUGUAACACAUUGCCUACUCUGUCAUGGUUAUGCUCUCACAUGUCUCUAUAUUUCAUAUUUACAUGAGUGCAUACAUGUAGGGGGAGCCUAUGCUUGUUACAUGUCCUUCCAAAGCUUUACUUGCUAUUCUUUAUAUCUUUAUCUAAAGCUUUGAUGUAUGUUGCCAUCAAUUACCAAAAAAGAGGAGAUUGAAAGCACAAGUGCUCCCUAGGUGGUUUUGAUAAUUGAUGACAACAUAUCUCUUGUUGGACUAACAUUUCUAUCUAGCAUGUUCCAGAUAAGUUCAACAAUGGAGUGGCAUGGACUAAAGGUUGUGGGAACUCCUUCAACAUGCUAAGGACAAAGGAUUGGCUAAAGCUUAAAGCUCAAGACUCUUCAUUUUACAUUUUAGUGAUCCAAGAUCACAUUGAGUCCAUAGGAAAAGCCAAUACUAUCAAGGAGGGAUGAGGUGUUGCUUAAUGAGCCUCUUGCUUCAUGUGCUUAGUGAUAUGCUCCAAAACCCUCAACUACUUUCCCACUUCCACAUAUGACCUAAACCCAAAGCCAAACUCGGUCAUACCGAUUCUUUCUAUCCGGCGCCACCGAGUUUCACUUGUCAUAAGCCACUACCAAACCCUAGCAAUUCGGUUCUACCGAUAGGGAUCUCGGUCUCACCGAGAUGGGAUUGCAAACUCUCUGUUACCUAUUGCAAUAUUUUUGGUCCCACCGAAAUAUGCAAUCGGUCCCACCGAGAUUGCAAUGUAAAUUUAGUGUUUCCUUUUUGUAACUUCUCGGUCUCACCGAAAGAGCAAAUCGGUCCCACCGAGUUUGCCUAACCAACACUCUGGUUAGCUAAUUACCAAAUUCGGUCUCACCGAGUUUGUGUAAUCGGUCUCACCAAGAUUACGUUAUGCCCAAACCCUAACCAUAUCGGUCCUACCGAGUUGCAUGUCAGUCCCACCGAAAAUCUCUAACGGUCACUAGGUUUACAUUUUCGGUCCGACCGAGUUUGUUGAUUCGGUCCCACCGAGAUUGGAAAACUGUGUGUAACGGUUGGAUUUUGUGUGGAGGCUAUAUAUACCCCUCCACCUCCUCUUCAUUCGCAGAGAGAGCCAUCGGAACGCAUACACCAUUCCAACUCAUAUGUUCUGAGAGAGAACCACCUACUCAUGUGUUGAGACCAAAAUAUUCAAUUCCUACCAUAUGAAUCUUGAUCUCUAGCCUUCCCCAAGUUGCUUUCCACUCAAAUCUUCUUUCCACAAAAUCCAAAUCCUAUGAGAGAAAGUUGAGUGUUGGGGAGACUAUCAUUUGAAGCACAAGAGCAAGGAGUUCAUUACCUACACACCAUUUGUUACUUCUUGGAGAGUGGUGUCUCCUAGAUUGGCUAGGUGUCACUUGGGAGCCUCCGACAAGAUUGUGGAUUUGAACCAAGGAGUUUGUAAGGGCAAGGAGAUCGCCUACUUUGUGAAGAUCUACCGCUAGUGAGGCAAGUCCUGUGUGGGCGAUGGCCAUGGUGGGAUAGACAAGGUUGCUUCUUCGUGGACCCUUUGUGGGUGGUUGCUUCUUCGUGGACCCUUCGUGGGUGGAGCCUGUGUGGACUCGCGCAACCGUUACCCUUUGUGGGUGGAGCCCUAUGUGGACUCGCGCAACCGUUACCCUUUGUGGGUUGAAGUCUCCAUCAACGUGGAUGUAGGAUAGCACCACCUAUCCGAACCACGGGAAAAACAUCCGUGUCUCCAAUUGCGUUUGAUUUCUCCAAACCCUUCCCUUUACAUUCUUGCAAGUUGCAUGCUUUACAUUCCGCUGCUCAUAUACUCUUUGCAUGCUUGCUUGAUAUGUAUUGUGUGUGUGUUCAAAUUGUGCCUAAACUCCACUUAAACCGAAAAAGCUUAAAAAUUGCAACUUUAGCAUUAAGUGUCUAAUCACCCCCCCCUCUAGACACAUCUACUUCUAGAUCCUACAGUGGCCCACGUUCCCGCCUACGAGAAACAGAGCUCUCCGAAGUCGGCGCGCACAAGCAAAGCCGGCCCCUCAGGAUAGGAAGCUGACCAAGCUUCUCGUCCCUUUAUCAGCCUCGAAGCUCGCUCAGCUUCGGGGACUACUGUCGGAGUAAGUGACCACGGGUAGCCUAGCCGGCUCCCCCUGGCCUUUCUGAAAAAAUUACGAGCCGAUCCGGCUCUCAAGAAUCCAAGACAUGGGGCCGCCUUCCCCUGGCCGGCUGUCUCCCAGGCCGGCUAUUGGAAGGCGGCCCGACUUCAGCCCUCAUGAAGAAAGCCGCGGGAGGGCCGGCUCCGAGCAGCCGGCUGCGAGAAGGCCGACCUCAAGGAGCCGGCUCCCAUAAAGCGGUCAAGACCGUACCACCGAAGUCUGCAUCCACAUAAUGGCGAUGUGAUGGGGCGUGGCUACAGUGAAGCCUGCCACCCCCGAAUCCCGGAGCGCGCCUGGCACAGUGCGCCGUACGGGUGGCCAUGACCCGUCCGGCGCAGCACUGUUGCCACACUGACCCUGAUGUCAUCCACGACGGGCUACCAGUACGGCCCACGGGCGAUGGGCCCCUUUAGGCAGAGAGACACCUGAAGGCGGCCUGGCCUCCCCCAGUCGGCCCGAGACGGAGCCGGCUCUCUCCAGCCGGCUUGCCACCCCCUCGAAGGAGACGCCCCAUUAAGGAGACAAGACGCGGUGAGGCUACAGUGGUCACCCGCCGGACGGCAGCACUGUAACCAUGGUUACCUCGGCGAAGCCCUCGUCACCAAGAUUGAGCAACAGUAACCAGCCACCGACAAGGCCCUGGACAGUGGGGCCUGCCUGUCGACCAGGGAGCCGGCAGCCGGCGGGACCCACCAGCCGGCGGGCCCCAGCAGUCGGCGUGGAAGCCGGAGAGCGAAGACACAGAUGGCUGGGCCCCACGCCCAGCUAGAUUACCAUUGUACCCCCGGGAGAGUAGGCCUAUAUAAACCCCCCGGGACACCCAUGCAAAGGGUUGAUCCCUGCUAGUUUUAGACACCACGUAGGGAGGAGAAGAGAGAAAGCAGAGCCCUUCUUCCUCCUCUCAUCAAACAGCUCAAGGAGCAUCGUGUAGCUACUUGUUCAUCUAGUGAUCAUGCGGAGACCCCGCAGAGUAGCAGUAGGGGUGUUAUCUCCACGGAGAGCCCCGAAGCUGGGUAAGAUUCGCCGGCGUGCAUGUCUUCACCUCAUCCCAUAUCCAGGCACCGGUGAUGUUUUACUGGCUCCCACAAUGAUAAGCCACCCGCUGGCAUAUGUCGCACCUACCACCCGACAGGUAAAAUCGGUGACAUGGUUGAUCCCCACUGAUUCCUCUCUCUACUAUCCAAUCCAGAAGAAAGAUCUACCAAUUAAUUAGGAAACAAAUACAAAUCCUGCGCUAUCACCAUAUUUUCCCCCAAAACACGGUCCGCUAAAUCCGCGGAUGUCAUGGCGCAAUUGGUCCCGAUCGAACCUUCCCCAUAUGGAACAGAGGGGAUCUCACCUGGUAAAAUAUGGAUCAAAUCCAUCGCUCUUUCCCUUGAAUGCUG